AGUGAACGCUGGCGAUAGGCCUAACACAUGCAAGUCGAACGGCAGCACAGUAAGAGCUUGCUCUUACGGGUGGCGAGUGGCGGACGGGUGAGGAAUACAUCGGAAUCUACUUUUUCGUGGGGGAUAACGUAGGGAAACUUACGCUAAUACCGCAUACGACCUACGGGUGAAAGCAGGGGAUCUUCGGACCUUGCGCGAUUGAAUGAGCCGAUGUCGGAUUAGCUAGUUGGCGGGGUAAAGGCCCACCAAGGCGACGAUCCGUAGCUGGUCUGAGAGGAUGAUCAGCCACACUGGAACUGAGACACGGUCCAGACUCCUACGGGAGGCAGCAGUGGGGAAUAUUGGACAAUGGGCGCAAGCCUGAUCCAGCCAUACCGCGCGGGUGAAGAAGGCCUUCGGGUUGUAAAGCCCUUUUGUUGGGAAAGAAAAGCAGCAGGUUAAUACCCCGCUGUUCUGACGGUACCCAAAGAAUAAGCACCGGCUAACUUCGUG
rnacentral:rRNA from 1 species